GACGAACGCUGGCGGCGUGCCUAAUACAUGCAAGUCGAGCGCUGAAGGCUGGUACUUGUACCAACUGGAUGAGCAGCGAACGGGUGAGUAACGCGUGGGGAAUCUGCCUUUGAGCGGGGGACAACAUUUGGAAACGAAUGCUAAUACCGCAUAAAAACUUUAAACACAAGUUUUAAGUUUGAAAGAUGCAAUUGCAUCACUCAAAGAUGAUCCCUCGUUGUAUUAGCUUGUUGGUGAGGUAAAGGCUCACCAAGGCGAGGUAACAUCGCCGACCUGAGAGGGUGGUCGGCCGCAUUGGGACUGUGACACGCCCCAAACGGCUUCGGGUGGCAGCAGUAGGGCAUCUUCGGGCAGGGGCGGAAGUCUGAGCGAGCAACGCCGCGUGAGGGAGGAAGGAUGUCGGGUCGGAAAACUCUGUUGGUAGGGAAGAACGUUGGUGAGAGUGGAAAGCUCAUCAAGUGACGGUAACUACCCAGAAAGGGACGGCUAACUACGUG
rnacentral:rRNA from 1 species